CAGCCGCCGCGGGAAUACGAAGGGGGCUAGCGUUGUUCGGAUUUACUGGGCGUAAAGGGCGCGUAGGCGGACUGAUAAGUCAGGGGUGAAAUCCCAAGGCUCAACCUUGGAACUGCCUUUGAUACUGUUUGUCUUGAGUUCGAGAGAGGUAAGUGGAACUGCGAGUGUAGAGGUGAAAUUCGUAGAUAUUCGCAAGAACACCAGUGGCGAAGGCGGCUUACUGGCUCGAAACUGACGCUGAGGCGCGAAAGCGUGGGGAGCAAACAGGAUUAGAUACCCCUGUAGUCCCUGUCUCUUAUAC
rnacentral:rRNA from 1 species